GUGUUCCAUUUUUAAGGUCUUUCCUCUCCGUGAGGAAAGACCUUAUUGUUUUUCUAAUGUUUUUUUUUUCUUUUUCUUUUUCUUUUUUCUUUUUUUUCUUCCAACAUUUUUUUGACAGGGCCUCCUCCCCUUUCUGUUGAAGUUAUCAAGACCAAAUAUGGACCAUCGAUAGACCUCAUCAUGAACUUUUACCAGAUGAACUUUUGUAGGAUUUCAUCAUCCCCUUUAGAAGUUAUCUCCCUUUUAUUGAUUUUUUUCAACAUGGCCCCCCUUUAUUGUUUUAAAAGAUAUCAUGACCUUUUAUGGACCAUAGGUAGAUAUCAUGAUGUAUUACCAUAUAAGGCUGCAUAGGAUUUCAUCAUCCCCUUUGAGAGUUAUAUCCCCUUAUAACAAUUUUUUAUAUUUGCAUUUUUCUCAAAAAGUAUUAGAGAUAGAAUGUGUUUGAAAAUGACAGCAUGUACAAGAAUAGAUGGCAAUGUUUAUAAACAUAAACAAUUAAUUUGUUACUUACCCUUAUAAGGAGUUAUUUCCCUUUAAACAUUAUAAAUAAUUUUUGAAAAAUUCUAUUUUCAGAACCGGAAGUUAUAGAGACCUUGAACCUUCACCAAUAAUCUUUAAUUCAUGUGACCUUCAAUAUGCACCCAAGGUCAAAGGUCACCGAGUGCAAAAAAAAUUUACGCUGCAAAUUCAAGCUUACAUAUUAGAAAAACGAUAAGACUUUGCUGCAUACAUACAGCGUGUAAAUUGUUCCUCUCGACGAGCUCUACAUUUUAUACAAUAAGCCCAAAAAAUGUCCAACCGUCUGUUUAAAAGUUACAACGGGAUGAUUCUUAAAAGUAUAGUAUUGUGUGUAUAUCUUUUUAAAUGUAACAGAUAUCAACUACUAUAAACUGCAAAGAUGAUCAGUAAUUCAAGACCUUCAAUUUGAGGUCAAUGUCAGGUCAUGAUGAAAUUUCACCUUGACCUUCACAGUAUACUAUGACCUUGACCUUGUGAUAUUUGAAAGGUCAAGUGGUCCUGAGUUGAAUGGUGCUAGUCCCAUGUCUCUACGACUUCCGGUUCUUAAGUUUGGUAUUGCAUCAUAUAUUUGAUGAUUAAUUGUGACCUUGGCGAACUUUAAAAUUGUCCCAAUUCUUUUUCUAUAAUGUUGUCCUUCAACUGUAGAUUAUUUAUCAUUUAACAGAUUUGAGAUAUCUAUUGUCGUUCUAGAGAUAAUGCAGUUUGAAGUUUUGCGAGCGGAGGCAUGUAUUUCUGAAUCAACAAGAG
rnacentral:lncRNA from 1 species